rnacentral:rRNA from 1 species
UACGUAGGGUGCGAGCGUUGUCCGGAAUUAUUGGGCGUAAAGGGCUCGUAGGCGGUUUGUCGCGUCGGGAGUGAAAUCCACUGGCUUAACUGGUGGCUUGCUUUCGAUACGGGCAGACUGGGAGGUAUGCAGGGGAGAACGGAAUUCCUGGUGUAGCGGUGAAAUGCGCAGAUAUCAGGAGGAACACCGGCGGUGUAGACGGCUUACUGGACCAUGACUGACGCUGAGGCACGAAAGCGUGGGGAGCAAACAGG